UUCUGGCUUCUGUGCCGCUUCAGAAUGUAAUAAAAUUUGAUAAAAAGAAGAUUUUCAGGUGCAACAUGUGAGUUUUUUGGUUUAUUAUUGUAGAAAUUACAUGUCAAUACAUUCAACAAUUCAAAAUGUCGGCUUCCUUAGUUACAGACAAGGAGAUAAAGAAUUUUACGCUAAAUGUCAUCCAAUCAGAACCAUUAAUACAAAAUAAUUGCAUUAGAAU
rnacentral:lncRNA from 1 species